UAGGGAAUCUUCCACAAUGGGCGCAAGCCUGAUGGAGCAACACCGCGUGAGUGAAGAAGGGUUUCGGCUCGUAAAGCUCUGUUGUUAAAGAAGAACACGUAUGAGAGUAACUGUUCAUACGUUGACGGUAUUUAACCAGAAAGUCACGGCUAACCACGUGCUAG
rnacentral:rRNA from 1 species